rnacentral:misc_RNA from 1 species
AGCAGCCGCGGUAAUUCCAGCUCCAAUAGCGUAUAUUAAAGUUGCUGCAGUUAAAAAGCUCGUAGUUGAAUUUCGGGAUCAAUAUGUUGGUCGUGCCUCGGUACGUACUAGCUUAUUGGUUUCUCCCUUCUGACGAACCAUGAUGUCAUUUAUUUGGUGUUAUGGGAAAUCAGGACUGUUACUUUGAAAAAAUUAGAGUGUUUAAAGCAGGCUCACGCUUGAAUACAUUAGCAUGGAAUAAUGAAAUAGGACGUUUGAUUCUAUUUUGUUGGUUUCUAGGAUCGACGUAAUGAUUAAUAGGGAUAGUUGGGGGCAUUAGUAUUCAAUUGUCAGAGGUGAAAUUCUUGGAUUUAUUGAAGACUAACUACUGCGAAAGCAUUUGCCAAGGAUGUUUUCAUUAAUCAAGAACGAAAGUUAGGGAUCGAAGACGAUCAGAUACCGUCGUAGUCUUAACCAUAAACUAUGCCGACUAGGGAUCGGAUGAUGUUAAU